UAACAGUAGUUAUUACCAAAUAUGUGCCUCCUCACAGUAAUUAUGCCAGAUUAUUUGCCCCCUUCAGGGGAUAUAAAACAAAAACUGUAAAUUCUCACCUGGUUCCUCCGAUGCUCAGAAGCUAGCGCUCCACGGCAGCAGAAGGAAUCUGCAAGACAUGACACUGCUGUG